UUCUAGCUCCUCCAAGUAUUGUGGACUGUUGUUGUGCUGCUCUUAGGAUUUUGUCGGAUUGGUAAUGUAAUAUUAUUGUUUGUAUGCUCAGACCAUUAGAACUGGCUGUUACAAUAGGAUCCUCUGUGCAAAAAUAUUGAUGUUUAUGGAAGUGAGGGGGAUGAAAGAACUAAAGAAGCUUCGGAACAGAGACUAAUGAGUGGCCCUGUAGCUGCCCAUAGUGACAGGGAGGUCGUUGUGGCUACUUUUCUUAUGAAUCUUUAGAAGUGUCUUCAAUGAGGAAAAUGAGGCACAAUGCAGCAGCAUGCACAGGAAUUGCUAUGAGAAUCGUAGAAUAGUAGAAUCAUUAAGAUUCGAAAAGACCACUGAGAUCAUCUAAUCCAACUCUCAGCCCAUCACCACCAUGGCCACUAAACCUUGUCCCCGAGAAGGUGCUCUGGGAACAUAUCCAUGAGAAAAUGCUCAGUGGGAGUCACUAGAUGGGACUUUGAGGGAACUAAGGUAAAUAAAAGUAUUUUUGACAGUUGCACUGCAGUCGUUUAAAGUUUUCUUUACAUGGUGAAGCAGUUUAGGCAAAAAAAGAAAAUAUAUGCAUGAAAACACAAAAUGAUUGACAAGGGGAAAUGGGCAGGAACUGCAACACAGUAAGUUUCACACAAAGACAAAGAAGAACUUCUUUACCAUGAGAGUGGCAGAGCCCUGGAGUAAGCUGCCCAGAGAAGUUGUGUUGUCUCUUUCUAUGGAGAUAUUCAAGACCCAUCUGGAUGCCUACCUGUGCGAUCUGCUGUAGGGAACUUGCUGUAGCAGUGGGUUGGACUCGAUCUCCAGAGGUCCCUUCCAACCUCUAAAAUUCUGUAAUUCUGUGUGAUCCUGUGAAAGCGUUUUGACCAUCCAGGCAGAUUUUCUUAAUGGAUAGGCAGAAGAAAGCUACAAGGCUUAGUCUGGAUUCAUAGGAAGGAAUAAAAUACUGUGUACACGAUAACUUUCAAUCUUCUGAUCCUUACUGAUAGUAUGCAAUCAGUGAAGAUGCUAAAAUAGAAACAGCCGAAGAAGACAUUAAAGUUAUUUUGGUUCUUGGUCUUGGUUACGCUUAGUUUGAGCUAGCAGUAAUUCACUCAAGAUGAAGUGUUAGAAAGCCACUCAGAUGUGCAGAGAUGGAGUGUGAUCACUUGAGUAUGGGGAGCAACAAUGAAUAUGUCUCAACAGAAGAGGAGUGGUAAUUGAAGCUUUCUAAAUGGAGAAAAUUACCCAUAGACAGAGAAAACACUGGUUAGCUUUCUUCCAGACAGAAAAAUGAGUCUUCAAGCCACAAAAAGCUUGAAUGCAUUAAGAUUUAAUGUAUAUUUAAUUUCUUUUAGACCCAAUCAGAAAAAAGAUCGGAAUGGUCAGACUCUAUGUCAUGUCUUAUGAAGAAACUGGAACAGCUGAAUUUAGAUAUUGAAGAAGCUCUGAGUGCUAGCUCGUCUCCCUCCAGUACUCCUUCUACCACAAGGAACAAACAACUGUGCCCUGUUCAAGUGGAGACAAGCUCUUACAGAGAUCAUCAAGGGAGAGGAUCGUGGAAGCACAGAAGUGCAGACUACCAGGAUUUAGACUGUUUACCUUACCCAGUAUCAACUGGAGCACGACCUAAACCUUUUAAGAAUAAGCUGUGAUAAAUCACUUCCUCAGAAAAGAAAGUGAAAGUGAAAUUUCUAAAGUGGAAGAUCACUGUAUCAACCAGAUCACCUGUAUCUACAUGAUCACUGGAAGAACAUGUCUAGAUUCCUGGGCUGUGACCUCCAAAAGCCAUACUAACAGUUCCCCAUUAGGCAGUGUUACUAUGUGUGUGUUUAUUCUGCCCUUAAGCAUAUUUUCUGGUACUUUUCUGCCAUGGAUAUCAGUCCUACUUGCAUCACUUCCACAAACAGCUUCAAAACAUUAUCAAAUAUUGGCAUGUGUGUGCUACCCUCCAUUCCUCUGAUCUCGAAGCCAAUAGCGUUUAGCAAUAACUACACAUUGAAUUAGUAGCUCAGCAGUUCUCUUUCUCUUGUUAAUGUGCUUGCUUCAAGUUAUCUUCUCAUUUUGGAUUAAAGCAAAAUCUACUGUAUUAGUGACUUCCUUAGAACUGUCAUAUUGUUCACCUACUAAAACACGAUAGACAUGCCACCAUGCAAAUAAUGUAUUUGCAAUAAAUUGUAAUUAAAUGAGCCUUCAUUCCAGUUACUGGAAUAAAAAUUUGAAGGUGGGUUCCUCUUGCUUCUUAAUUGAAAAUAUUAUUGUCUUCCCUCUAGCCAUUUCCUCUUCUUAUGAAAUAAAUUUGCUGUUUUUCAUUUCUGCAAAAGCACAAACAUUUGUACUAGUUUUAGUUGGAAUAUAUAGUGGCAUUUAGUAAAGAGAAAGGUAUUUGUCAGCUUUGUUUGUUCUUCACCUGAGUGGAAUGUUUAGGCAUGUACAAGUAUCAUUGCUUAACUGCCCUCCCACCAGUACUGUGUAAAUAUUUUGGAAGUGGUAUUACAGUAAUACUGUUGUUUGGCUAGAAAUGUGUGGGACACAGAUUUUAUCUCCACAAUCCAUAUAUUAUAUCAAACAAAUUUGCGAUGCUGUAGUAAUAGCAAUGUUAUGCAAAAAGUACCACUGUUGCUUAGGGUACUGUCUCAUCUAGAAACCUACCAGAAGCACAACCAUUCUUUAGAAGCUAAUGCUCUGUUUUUAGCAUUGGAGAGUGCUUUAAAUUAAAGAUAAACAUUGAAAAUUAAUGUUUGUAGAUUCCAUUCAAGAGAGCAAAUCAUUUCACUUCUUCCUUCCAAGUGCCACUUUUGGUGUAUGUAAUGUAUUUCAGGCAGAUACAAAUAAUGCCAUAUCUAGAUCCAGACAUUCUUUUGUACUCCUCUGUCAUAGCUCUCUAAUAACUGAGCUUCCACUGUUUUUCCUUUAAGAUUCAGACUUCUCUAUAUUUUCAAAAAAGGGCACAUCAAAAUCACGUUUGUUACAAUGAAGAGAAUGGAAAAAAGGCGUAUUUCCUUUUGCAUUGCCCUAAGAUUGCUUACAUUUAACCCCCAUGAUCCAAGUGUAUUAUACAUAACUUGAGAAUAAUAUAGAGAUAAAUGGGACUGGUUGUGUUUUGGUGAGCUGGAUUUUCUUCUCUUCCAGUCUUUUAUGAGUUUGGAAGUCAAAAAGAGCUUAUCUGUCUCAUCUCCCCAGGAACUCUGCAGAAGCUCUUACACCCAGGCACUUAGAAAACCAAAUAUUCUACAGUUUAUUGUGAUUAGCAAAUGUAGCCAAGGAGAUCAGUGUUAGAAAUAGCAGGGAUGCAGAAAUUUAGGAAUAAUAGGUGUAAAAUUAUGCUGGACACAGUUCAAUUCUCAUUAGAAGACCGAGCUGCACACUAUCAUGGUUUCUAACUAUGCUGGCAGCUUAAAAUGAAACAAUGAAAAUGAAAUUAAAACCUUCUAUAUUGGUAACAAGGUGGGCUUUUGCCUUUAUCAGAGGUAAGUCUGCAUUUAUGCUUCCUUCUUAAGUACAGUUGAUGAGCAGUUUUGAUUUCUUAAGCUUUAGUUCUACAAUUUGGUUGAUUACUUAGCGUGCAAAAACUAAACAUUUUACAGCUUUUCGUCUUGUUUUAAUCUGGCUUCUCGGUUUGUUUCACUGUUCAGCUGCAUAAAUGUGCAUGCCAGAGAGGGGAAAAAUGUGCAAGAGGGGAAAAAGAGAAUGGAGAUGAUAUGGUGAGUUGGUUCUUUCAGUAUCAAUGCCAGCUUAGCAUAGCUUAAACUGUGGAACUUUACUUAACUGUGCUAAGACACUUGAUUCAGGAAAUGGGAUACAAAACAGUGCCUUGUAACCUACAUGACUGAGAGGUGUUUGUGAUUAUUUUAAGAAAAUGUUAUUCUUUUUUUGCUGAUUAAUGUUGGUUGAUGCUAUACACAGUGUUUCAGAGUUCAGGUCAGAGGUUCCAGAGAUGUCUGAUAUCUUCUGACAUUGUUUAGAAAUAUAAAACUAAUAAUACUGUAAUCUAUGACUAGAGUAGUUAUUAUCUCUCUGUAGACAAUCUGUUGCCUGCCUGCCCUCUGACAUUGUCUGAGGCCAGAAAAAUGCAAAAGUA